UACAGAGGGUGCAAGCGUUUGUUCGGAAUUAUUGGGCGUAAAGCGCGUGUAGGCGGCCGUGCAAGUCGGGUGUGAAAGCCCUCGGCUCAACCGAGGAAGUGCGCCCGAAACUGCAUGGCUUGAGUAUCGGAGAGGGUGGCGGAAUUCCCCAAGUAGAGGUGAAAUUCGUAGAUAUCGGGAGGAACACCGGUGGCGAAGGCGGCGACCUGGUUCGAUGACUGACACUGAGGUGCGAAAGCGUGGGGAGCGAAACAAGG
rnacentral:rRNA from 1 species